rnacentral:rRNA from 1 species
UAGUCCACGCUGUAAACGAUGAUCACUAGGUGUGGGACUUCAUUUCGAGGUUCUGUGUCGUAGCUAACGCGAUAAGUGAUCCGCCUGAGGAGUAUGGUCGCAAGAUUAAAACUUAAAGAAAUUGACGGGGGUCCGCACAAGCGGUGGAACAUGUGGUUUAAUUCGACACUACGCGAGGAACCUUACCUAGGCUUGACAUGUAAUUGCUACCGAACGAAAGUUCGGGUUCCAAGCUUGCUUGGACGGUUACACAGGUGCUGCAUGGCUGUCGUCAGCUCGUGUCGUGAGAUGUUGGGUUAAGUCCUUUAACGAGCGCAACCCUUGCCGCUAGUUGCUAAUCUUAGUGAAGCACUUUAGCGGGACUGCCUUGGAAACAAGGAGGAAGGUGGGGAUGACGUCAAGUCCUCAUGGCCCUUAUGUCUAGGGCUACACACGUGUUACAAUGGUAGGAGCAAAGAGGAGCGAUAUCGUGAGGUGGAGCAAAUCUGGUAAACCCUAUCUAAGUUCGGAUUG